UAUCUCUGUAGAGUCUGCAUAUCAAUAAGCGGAGGAAAAGAAACUAACAAGGAUUCCCUUAGUAACGGCGAGUGAAGCGGGAAGAGCUCAAAUUUGAAAUCUUCAAGGUUUUACCUUGACGAAUUGUAGUUUAAAGAAGUGUUUUCUGUUGAAGUUUCGGUAAAAGUUCUUUGGAAUAGGACAUCCAUAGAGGGUGAGAAUCCCGUAUUUGACCGUUAUUUUCAGCUGUGUGAUACACUUUCAAAGAGUCGGAUUGUUUGGGAAUGCAGUCCAAAAUGGGUGGUAAAUUUCAUCUAAAGCUAAAUAUUGGCGAGAGACCGAUAGCGAACAAGUACCGUGAGGGAAAGAUGAAAAGAACUUUGAAAAGAGAGUUAAACAGUACGUGAAAUUGUCAAAAGGGAAGCGUUUGACACCAGUGUUGUUUUCUCGAAAAUCAAUUAAAAAUGGCUUGAUUUUGUGUUGUAUUGACCUUAAAAGCUUUCUUCACUUUUUUCAUGUCUUUUUUAAUGCACUUUUCGUUUAACAAGUCAACAUCAGUUUCUUUUGUUGUAAAAAGGUCAUUGGAAGGUGGCUUUCUUUUCGGAGAAAGUUGUUUAUAGCCUUUGACUUCUGCAAUCGGAGAGACUGAGGUCUGCAGCGUAGAUCCUUCUGGAUUAGAUUCAUUUGUGCUAAGUUACAACCGUUUAUAGACAACUUGUUGACUAUAUUCGAUCCUGUAGCUUACUCGCUUAUGUAAUUUUACCUACGCUUAGGAUGUUGAUAUGCAUGACUGAUAU
rnacentral:rRNA from 1 species